rnacentral:lncRNA from 1 species
AAAUAAUAUACCAUUCACGUCCACCAUCCUUUUAAAGUCAUCAAGUCAGAUAGAGUUAAAUAGAGUAUCAUGUUUAAAUAGUCUGAUAUUUGUAGUUGGCAUCUUCGUGCAUUCCUUCGGAUCAAGAUGCAGCGAUGGAAGAUUACGGUAUAUAAAGAGCCACACGCAUACUUGAAUACAGAUGUGAUGUGAGAUCAUCCACAGCUUGAUGCACGCAUGAUUGCCGAUAUCAUUAGA